GGGGACCAAUCAAUCCGAUUUUUCAACAACAAUAACCUUCUAAUAAUUAUGGCAUAAUUUCUAUAGCAAAUAGUAAUUCACUCGAAAAAAAUAUCCAAUGUGAUGGGAACACCAUCUCGCCAACAGAAUUUUUGCCAUAAUCUUUGUUAUUUUUCAAAUGCCACCCUCUAGAAGAGAAUAAGAAAACAUUUUUUUUUAUUAAAAAAAUUGUAAGACUUGAAGAAUAUAAACAUGCAUAAACCUAGUAGUCAAAAUAAAUGCAAUUCUAAAAAGGAAAAAAAUGUUAUUCCCUAUGCCCUAACAGCUACAUUGUGAAAGCAUCAAAACCUUUCUCUCCUCCUCUAAUGACAGGAAUCUGAGUCAUUUUCUAGUAACCAUAACAGGGCCAAAAAAAGACAACUUGUUGAAAGUCUUCCAUCCAACUAUAUACCAGUUUUAGCUUAUCCUCAUUGAAUUUGCCAGCAGUGAAAACAAACAUUCUCAUUGUCUUUUUGCAGAGCUUUCCUCUUUAAGGGUCAUGCCAGCAUAUUUUGACAACAUUUCCUGCAAAUGAUUUGUUAUAGGGUAAUGACAACUGGAAUAACGUUAGAUGAUCUGUGGAGAUCAGAUUAGCUUAAAUGUUUUAUCAGCCCCUCCUAUUGAAACUAUCUUUGAAUCUGAAUAUUAAGAAGAGAAUCCAUUACAGUAAAAAGAAAAAAGAGAAAAAGAAAAGGAGUCCGCCAUUGUCAAAGAAAUGAUGAAGUAGAGAUCCACACUUAUAUGUGUUUUUGAUCCCCUGGAACAGCCUUUAACUUUUCCAUUUAAUGCUAACCUACUUGCUGAUAACAGUCUUAUUAAUACAUGUGAAACUUUGGUUUCAUAGGCUAGUAAUGAAACAUCAUAAUCUUACAAAGUUUAAACUCACCUGAAAAUCAGUUACCAUACCACUGUUCAAAAUCUUCUGCUUUUCGAUCAGUCUGUCCACUGUUUGAUUUAGCAAUUGCCAUCUGACAACCUCUAUUAACUUGAAUUGUGUGCUGUCUGGCAAGUAGUAACUAGCUCUUCCUUUCUCUUGAUUCAAGCACCAGCAAGCCUGAAAAAUCAAUAGAAUCAUUUGAUAGUUGUUUGUUACAUAUCAGGUACCAAACAAAAAUCAAGGCUAUGUUUGUUAGGAAGAAGUAAAAUAUGGAAGAGGAAACGAUGGAAUUUAAUCCACUUGUUUGGUUAAAAGGUAAAGGAAAUAAAAGAAUCUAAUAAUACUUUAUCUGUUUGGGAAUAAAUAGGAAAGAAAGGAAAUGGUAUGAUAUUGACGUCAGAAAGGAUAACAAUGUAAAACCAAAAUCAACAGAGCGGUAUUUACAAUUAAAUAGAUAACGACAGUAAAAAUAAUGGAAAACCACAUUUUUAAAAAUUGAUGAGCAAUCCUUCCGUUGUUAAUCUGCCCAUUUUGGAAAAUUGCAAAAUAUAGGACCAGGAGAUUUGAAAGGAAAUUUCCCUUAAAAAGGAAAACCUUUUGAAUGUAAUCUUCAGAUGAAUCACUCAGAAGCAUCUGCUGAGUCAACUGAGAGUAGUAAGUAGCAGUUUCUUCAAGCAUCGUCCUCUCAAAAUCUUCAUAAUAGCUUACUCCUUUAUAUUCAUUGAUUUCCAUGAAGAAAAGUAGAGCAUUCUUCAGUGCAUCUCGAUCAAUGUACAAUCCCAUGCGCUCCUGAUUGAUCAAUGAUAUUGCAGCCGCCCGAAACUUAGAAUAUAACUCCCUGAAAACCAAAUCUCGGAAGCAAUUAAUGGAGAUUUCAUUAAGUGAACCAAGUGUCAUAUAUUCAGGGAUAAAGUAACGGUCAAGAUACUCAAAAAAUCUGCAAAGCCACCUUGCCAUCAACCUGUAAUUUGACCACAUAAGGAUAAGUUCCCUCAACAAUGGCGCAUCACAUUUAUCCCUUAAAGAUGGCAAUACUAUUGAAAUGACACUUUCUUCCAGGGUAUUUUUAAAUCUUUCAUAAAUCCACAUUGAAUUGUCUUGAGAUCCAGAAAAAGCACUCAAUUCAUAGGCACAUUGAUGGAACCUCUGAUAUUCUUCUGUAGUAAACUUCGUUUCUGGAUGUCCCUCCAUGAUCUUCUUUGUCUUCCUUAUUGCUUCUUCAAAUAUCAUCUUCCGAAUAUCUUGUUCAGUGCAAUCUACUUCCAUCAUCUUCUCACUUCUUCAACCACUUGUUUGGAAACUAAAAAGGAAUUGAGAAGGACGACGACAGAGAGUUUCUGCAAAGAGAGGAGACGUUAGGAAGCUUGAAUCAUUAGUGAGGACUCUUAUCAUGUAUUUAUAGGUAGUGAGCGUGGAGAUAGCGAGAAGGGUAACAUUGAAAUUAUAUGGAAAACAAUGGCCUUUUGGUAGAUUGCUUUUCCCUCCCUAAAUUCGAGAGGGAGGGGCAGGCAGAUUGCAGAAGAGGCGUA
rnacentral:misc_RNA from 1 species